rnacentral:rRNA from 1 species
CCUACGGGAGGCAGCAGUGAGGAAUAUUGCACAAUGGGGGAAACCCUGAUGCAGCGACGCCGCGUGAAGGAAGAAGCAUUUCGGUAUGUAAACUUCUAUCAGCAGGGAAGAAAAUGACGGUACCUGACUAAGAAGCCCCGGCUAACUACGUGCCAGCAGCCGCGGUAAUACGUAGGGGGCAAGCGUUAUCCGGAUUUACUGGGUGUAAAGGGGGCGUAGGCGGUUUAGCAAGUCAGAAGUGAAAGCCCGGGGCUCAACCCCGGGACUGCUUUUGAAACUGUUGAACUAGAUUGCAGGAGAGGUAAGUGGAAUUCCUAGUGUAGCGGUGAAAUGCGUAGAUAUUAGGAGGAACACCAGUGGCGAAGGCGGCCUACUGGACUGUAAAUGACGCUGAGGCUCGAAAGCGUGGGGAGCAAACAGGAUUAGAUACCCCAGUAGUC